GUUCAGUCUUCCCAGGCCCACCACUUUCAUCGAGUGAGCAUUCGUCUUCUGGUUACGGGGCCAUAGCUCAGCUGGGAGAGCGCGUGCUUUGCAAGCAUGAGGUCGUCGGUUCGAUCCCGUCUGGCUCCACCAGAUGGUUUGAUCACCUGCGACUGACCGUCGUCCGCGAAACAUCACUUCGCAUUCACUAGUCUGGAUAGACAGUGAACUGCGUGUUUUCUGACAUCGUAAAGAGGAGAUCGAUCCGAGUUGGGUCGUGCAGCAGAUUGUUGCGCGGAUCCUUCAUUAUCUCCGGAUCAUUUUCGGCGCUCGCUUUCAGCCGUGAGGCUGAACGCGAGUUGUAAAAUGAUCCUUUUAGCGAAGCUUGACCGCCUCGCUAUCGGAACGAUCUUACGAAGCAAGCUGGUCUUUCUAGUCAAUGUCCGGCUGUGAGAAUAGCGCUCGUCGAGGGCGCGUGCCGCAAGGCGGUUCUUACAGGCAGCAUUCUGCCGAGUGUGUGGACAUUGAUAAUGAGAGCAAUCAAGUGCCUUAAGGGUGUUCGGUGGAUGCCUUGGCGCUGAGAGGCGAUGAAGGACGUGCUACGCUGCGAUAAGCCGUGGGGAGCUGCGAAGAAGCUUUGAUCCGCGGAUUUCCGAAUGG
rnacentral:misc_RNA from 1 species